rnacentral:rRNA from 1 species
UAGAGUUUGAUCCUGGCUCAGGACGAACGCUGGCGGCGUGCCUAACACAUGCAAGUCGAGCGAUUCAGAAGUCGGAUAUCAAUCCGACCUCUGGAUAGCGGCGGACGGGUGAGUAACACGUGGGUAAUCUGCCCUACGGACCGGGAUAACACACCGAAAGGGGUGCUAAUACCGGAUAAAGUCAUCAUAUGGCAUCAUAAGAUGAAGAAAGGAGAAAUCCGCCAAAGGAGGAGCCCGCGUCCCAUUAGUUAGUUGGCGGGGUAAAAGCCCACCAAGGCGACGAUGGGUAGCCGGCCUGAGAGGGUGAACGGCCACACUGGAACUGAGACACGGUCCAGACUCCUACGGGAGGCAGCAGUGGGGAAUAUUGCGCAAUGGGGGGAACCCUGACGCAGCAACGCCGCGUGAGCGAAGAAGGCCUUCGGGUUGUAAAGCUCAAUAGUAUGGGAAGAUAAUGACGGUACCAUACGAAAGCCCCGGCUAACUACGUGCCAGCCGCCGCGGUAAUACA